rnacentral:rRNA from 1 species
AGCAGCCGCGGUAAUUCCAGCUCCAAUAGCGUAUAUUAAAGUUGUUGCAGUUAAAAAGCUCGUAGUUGAAUUUCGGGGUUAGUAGGUUGGUCAUGCCUCUGGUAUGUACUGGUCUCACUGAUUCCUCCUUCCUGAUGAGCCGUAAUGCCAUUAAUUUGGUGUUGCGGGGAAUUUGGACUGUUACUUUGAAAAAAUUAGAGUGUUUAAAGCAAGCUAACGCUUGAAUACAUUAGCAUGGAAUAAUGAAAUAGGACGUUCGAUCCUAUUUUGUUGGUUUCUAGGAUUGACGUAAUGAUUAAUAGGGAUAGUUGGGGGCAUUAGUAUUCAAUUGUCAGAGGUGAAAUUCUUGGAUUUAUUGAAGACUAACUACUGCGAAAGCAUUUGCCAGGAUGUUUUCAUUAAUCAAGAACGAAAGUUAGGGGUAUCGAAGACGAUCAGAUACCGUCGUAGUCUUAACCAUAACUAUGCCGACUAGGGAUCGGAUGAUGUUAAUUUUUUAAUGACUCAUUCGGCGCCUUAC